rnacentral:hammerhead_ribozyme from 1 species
AUACAAUUGGCGAGUCCCAAAUGGGACGAAACGCGCGUUCUGGAU